GAGUGGAUUCUCAUCUCAUCUCAGCUGGCUGGGCCGGGGGAGGAGAAUGGGAUUAUUAUUAUUAUUCGCUGGCCUGGCCUGGCCAUGGAGGAAUCCCGGAAAGAAACCGACGUCGGCGCCCGGCCGGCGGCGGGAGAAGAUGAUGCUGAGUGGAUGGAUGGGCGAUGCGUGUGCGUGUGCGUGGGACGGAUGGAUGCCUUUCGGAUAUGGCCGAAUUCUCCCUGCCCCCGCGAGCUCAGUCAUCAGUCGUUGCCUUGUCUCUCUCUCUCUUCUCUUCUUCUUCUUCCCCGAGACCUCCCAUGCAUCCCCGGCCCCUGAAGCCAAUAAUAGUCCCGCUUGCUCC
rnacentral:misc_RNA from 1 species